CCAAUAGCGUAUAUUAAAGUUGUUGCAGUUAAAAAGCUCGUAGUUGAAUUUCGGGGUUCAUCCGUUGGUCGGGCUUUUUGGUCUGUACUGGCGUGAUGGAUUCCUACCUUCUGAAUAACCAGCAUGUCAUUAAUUUGGUGCGCUGGGGAAGCAGGACUGUUACCUUGAAAAAAUUAGAGUGCUUAAAGCAGGCUAUCGCCUGAAUACAUUAGCAUGGAAUAAUGAAAUAGGACGGCAUGGUUCUAUUUUGUUGGUUUCUAGGAUCACCGUAAUGAUUAAUAGGGAUAGUUGGUGGCAUUAGUAUUCAAUUGUCAGAGGUGAAAUUCUUGGAUUUAUUGAAGACUAACUUCUGCGAAAGCAUUUGCCAAGUAUGUUUUCAUUAAUCAAGAACGAAAGUUAGGGGAUCGAAGACGAGCAGAUACCGUCGUAGUCUUAACCAUAAACUAUGCCGACUAGGGAUCGGACGAUGUUAAUUUUUUAAUGACUCGUUCGGCGCCUUACG
rnacentral:rRNA from 1 species